rnacentral:lncRNA from 1 species
UCUUAAUCAAUCGAGUUUUCCCAAAAGCUUUUUUUUUUCAAUUUUCUCUCUAUGCACUCUUAGUUUAGUUAAUCAGUUUAGAUAAACAAAUCCCUUAGUUUUUAGGCUAGAUAAUAAAAAGAAAAUAAUUACUAGUACUCUUGGUUCGUUAGGGUUCGACAAUCCAGUCUUUCUAAAGCUAUACGACUGUUCAAUAGGUACACUUGCCUUCAUCGUGAUAAUCGUUAUUUUCAAGAACGAUUAAUUAUCAAUUUUUA